CUCCAGAUGUUGCUUAACUACAAUUCUCAUUCUGUGAAUUAAAUAGAUAGCCAGAGAAUCAUGGGAAUUGUAGUUAAGCAAUAUCUGGAG